AGGUUGGGUAACACUAACUGGAGGACCGAACCGACUAAUGUUGAAAAAUUAGCGGAUGACCUGUGGCUGGGGGUGAAAGGCCAAUCAAACCGGGAGAUAGCUGGUUCUCCCCGAAAGCUAUUUAGGUAGCGCCUCGUGAAUUCAUCUCCGGGGGUAGAGCACUGUUUCGGCUAGGGGGCCAUCCCGGCUUACCAACCCGAUGCAAACUGCGAAUACCGGAGAAUGUUAUCACGGGAGACACACGGCGGGUGCUAACGUCCGUCGUGAAGAGGGAAACAACCCAGACCGCCAGCUAAGGUCCCAAAGUCAUGGUUAAGUGGGAAACGAUGUGGGAAGGCCCAGACAGCCAGGAUGUUGGCUUAGAAGCAGCCAUCAUUUAAAGAAAGCGUAAUAGCUCACUGGUCGAGUCGGCCUGCGCGGAAGAUGUAACGGGGCUAAACCAUGCACCGAAGCUGCG
rnacentral:rRNA from 1 species